CCAGAAAUGAUUUUGACUGAACUCUGUUGACACCUGAAGACUAUUGAGUAAUUCCAGGCACAGGUGAGAUGUUCUGUGAUUUUUUGCUGGGUGACCCUCUUCCAGUUUCACAGGCAAGGGGUCAAAAUGCAUUUCAAAUAAUAAUGUUGCCAGGUCUCACCUCAAGCAGCAAGGGGAGAGCAAGGCAUAAUGAUAAAGAUGAAAAAAGGGCCACUCCAGAAGAGAGAAGAAGGGGAUUACUGGCAGUUUUUGCUUCUUUCUGCAAAUACUAGGCAUGCUGCUUCUAGAAACAGUGAAGGAUUUUCCCUUCUCACUCCCGCCUCAUAAAAGACACUUCUAGAGACCAUGCGAUGGAUG
rnacentral:lncRNA from 1 species